UAAUACAGAGGGGGCAAGCGUUAUUCGGAAUUAUUGGGCGUAAAGGGCGCGUAGGCGGCUUGGCAAGUGGAUGGUGAAAUCCCUCGGCUUAACCGAGGAACUGCCGUCCAAACUGCUUCGCUUGAGACCGGGAGAGGUGAGUGGAAUUCCCAGUGUAGCGGUGAAAUGCGUAGAUAUUGGGAGGAACACCAGUGGCGAAGGCGGCUCACUGGACCGGUACUGACGCUGAUGCGCGAAAGCGUGGGGAGCAAACGGGAUUAGAUACCCCGGUAGUCCACGCCGUAAACGAUGAGUGCUUGGUGUAGCGGGUAUCGACCCCUGCUGUGCCGAAGUCAACACAUUAAGCACUCCGCCUGGGGAGUACGGUCGCAAGGCU
rnacentral:rRNA from 1 species